rnacentral:rRNA from 1 species
CCUACGGGAGGCAGCAGUGAGGAAUAUUGGUCAAUGGGCGCGAGCCUGAACCAGCCAAGUAGCGUGAAGGAUGACUGCCCUACGGGUUGUAAACUUCUUUUAUAAAGGGAUAAACUGAGGCACGUGUGCCUUUUUGUAUGUACUUUAUGAAUAAGGAUCGGCUAACUCCGUGCCAGCAGCCGCGGUAAUACGGAGGGUCCGGGCGUUAUCCGGAUUUAUUGGGUUUAAAGGGAGCGUAGAUGGGUUGUUAAGUCAGUUGUGAAAGUUUGCGGCUCAACCGUAAAAUUGCAAUUGAUACUGGCAGGCUUGAGUGCAGUUGAGGUAGGCGGAAUUCGUGGUGUAGCGGUGUAAUGCUUAGAUAUCACGAAGAACUCCGAUUGCGAAGGCAGCUUACUAAAGUGUUACUGACAUUGAUGCUCGAAAGUGUGGGUAUCAAACAGGAUUAGAUACCCCAGUAGUC